rnacentral:rRNA from 1 species
CUACGGGCGGCUGCAGUGGGGAAUAUUGCAUAAUGGGCGCAAGCCUGAUGCAGCCAUGCCGCGUGUAUGAAGAAGGCCUUCGGGUUGUAAAGUACUUUCAGCGGGGAGGAAGGGAGUAAAGUUAAUACCUUUGCUCAUUGACGUUACCCGCAGAAGAAGCACUGGCAAACUCCGUGCCAGCAGCCGCGGUAAUACGGAGGGUGCAAGCGUUAAUCGGAAUUACUGGGCGUAAAGCGCACGCAGGCGGUUUGUUAAGUCAGAUGUGAAAUCCCCGGGCUCAACCUGGGAACUGCAUCUGAUACUGGCAAGCUUGAGUCUCGUAGAGGGGGGUAGAAUUCCAGGUGUAGCGGUGAAAUGCGUAGAGAUCUGGAGGAAUACCGGUGGCGAAGGCGGCCCCCUGGACGAAGACUGACGCUCAGGUGCGAAAGCGUGGGGAGCAAACAGGAUUAGAUACCCCAGUAGUC